UGCUGAGCUCCGGUCGGCAAGUUAUUACCCAAUCCCGUCAGGUCCGGAAGGAAGCAGCGGUUAGUAAUUAAUUUGGGUGACCGGUAAGCUUGGCAUUA
rnacentral:SRP_RNA from 1 species